rnacentral:lncRNA from 1 species
UUCUUUGUUCAAAAGUCGACUACUUUGUUACUCUGUAUCGAAUGACAUAAAAGUUACUUGCCUGUGAUAUUUUUGGGAUUAGUUGUUUGUACUUUUUUCAUUCGAGUUUACAGGUUUCAACAUAUCUCAACACUAGAAUAAGUUUUGCCCCUCAAGUGUGGCUACACUUCUAUGUAUAUGUGAGCAUCCUCUCAUUUUUAAUCUAAAUUAGAUGUUACUGAUCCAUACAUGAGUAGUUCUAGAAUAUGUAAU